rnacentral:lncRNA from 1 species
AUAUUAACCAUCCAUUUAACUAUGUUACUACAUAUCUUCUCAGAGUUAAAGUUUUGCUAGAGUCUAAUCAAAACAUAAGCACAGAAUUAAAGUUUCUAAAAUGUAUUUACAUUUUACCCCUGUGCUAAAGAAGGAAUGAGCAAUAAUCGAAAGUUAAUAGAGUUGGCCGGGCACAGUGGCUCACACCUGUAAUCCCAGCACUUUGGGAGGCCGAGGUGGGAGGAGGAUCACUGAGGCCCACAAGUUUGAGACCAACCUGGGCAACAAAGUGAGAUCCUGUCUCUAUUUUUUUUUUUUUAAUUUUUUAUAAAACAAAGGUAACAGGGUUAUCUUUUUGUAUAUUUGGGAAGCGGUGAUAGAGGACAUGUGGAUCUACUGAGUCAGUCCUUCUAAAAAAGAAGCUUGAAGAACAUCUAGAGAAGCUGCAUGAGGCCAAUAAUGAACUACAGAAGAAGAGAGCCAUUAUUGAAGAUCUCGAGCCAAGAUUUAACAACAGCUCCUUAAAAAUUGAAGAAUUACAAGAAGCUUUACGAAAGAAAGAGGAAGAAAUGAAGCAAAUGGAAGAACGAUACAAAAAAUACUUAGAGAAAGCCAAAAGUGUCAUCCGUACUUUAGAUCCUAAACAGAAUCAAGGAGCAGCACCAGAAAUACAAGCUCUUAAAAAUCAGCU